rnacentral:rRNA from 1 species
GAUGAACGCUGGCGGCGUGCCUAAUACAUGCAAGUCGAGCGAACAGACGAGGAGCUUGCUCCUCUGACGUUAGCGGCGGACGGGUGAGUAACACGUGGAUAACCUACCUAUAAGACUGGGAUAACUUCGGGAAACCGGAGCUAAUACCGGAUAAUAUAUUGAACCGCAUGGUUCAAUAGUGAAAGACGGUUUUGCUGUCACUUAAAGAUGGAUCCGCGCCGCAUUAGCUAGUUGGUAAGGUAACGGCUUACCAAGGCAACGAUGCGUAGCCGACCUGAGAGGGUGAUCGGCCACACUGGAACUGAGACACGGUCCAGACUCCUACGGGAGGCAGCAGUAGGGAAUCUUCCGCAAUGGGCGAAAGCCUGACGGAGCAACGCCGCGUGAGUGAUGAAGGUCUUCGGAUCGUAAAACUCUGUUAUUAGGGAAGAACAAAUGUGUAAGUAACUAUGCACGUCUUGACGGUACCUAAUCAGAAAGCCACGGCUAACUACGUG